rnacentral:rRNA from 1 species
GUUUAUGGCUAUAACUCCCUGAAUGCCCUAUCUCGUGUGAUUUUGGAAAUUAAACAGGGUCAGGCCUAGUUAGUACUGGUCUAGGAGAAAUGAGGGAAAAAAUAAAAA